GCGAAGGCCGGGCGAGAUGCGGCGGUAAUGCGGGGGGGGGAAGCGUUGUUCGGAAUUACUGGGCGUAAAGGGCUCGUAGGCGGCCAACUAAGUCGGAUGUGAAAUCCCCAGGCUCAACUGGGGAACUGCAUCCGAUACUGGAUGGCUUGAAUCCGGGAGAGGGAUGCGGAAUUCCAGGUGUAGCGGUGAAAUGCGUAGAUAUCUGGAGGAACACCGGUGGCGAAGGCGGCAUCCUGGACCGGCAUUGACGCUGAGGAGCGAAAGCCAGGGGAGCAAACGGGAUUAGAUACCCCUGUAGUC
rnacentral:rRNA from 1 species